AGUUUUCAAAAUGAUUUUUCGCGCCGUCUCUCUCUCUCUUUCUCUCUUUCUCUCCCUCUCUCUCUCUCUCUCUGUCUGUCUCUCUGCAUCCUUCGUACGUGCACAUCAACACUAGCUUCAUGGCUUUACUAUACACAGGCGAACAGAGUUCAACCACUUUCAAGACGCGGGUGGAGCUCUUUUUUUCGAAAACACGUAAAAGUAAUAUAUAAUUGUAUCAGUUGAGCUAUAUGACAUCAGUGUCCACUGGCAAAAAUCAAAAUACAAAGUGCGAUUCGUAAAUUACUAUAAAUAUACCAGAAAAGAGGAAAGUAAGCGCGCCGAAAAUGGUUCAUUCCUAAAGUACGACGUGCAAAACCGAACGCGCCGCACCCCGCUAUAACUCUCAGAAAAUCCACCAAACAAGUUGAUGGUCAUAGACAAGCCCCUCUGACGCUGUAAUUCGAUAGUUCCAUUUAAUAGGCGGGCUUUCAAUAAAGGAAUCGGCCGACUAUUGGCUGACUGUCACGUCAAUCAAACGCUGAUUUGCAUAAGCAGGUCAGGUUGCAGUUGCAGGGGAGUGGGCAGGGUUGGGAUAGCGCAAGUGAGCUGAACUUCUGCGCUGGUGUAGUGUACUAUCCUCAAUUUAAUACUUUAUUUGAGAAAUUAUUUUCUUUGAUGAAAAUAGCUCUUGCUGCGUGUGUUCUGACAGGACACCACUGAGGAAUGUUGGAUUUGCUAUUCUUCGUGUAAUUAAUGGGUUUAUUGGGAAGUUGAGAUAUUUACAGUGAUUCCAUGGUUUCCUGUGGCAUCAGAACUUGUGAUUUCUGAAAGCAGGUAAGCCACUGACUAACGCACAUUGCGCCUAUUCUCCACUCCACUGUGCGUGUGACAGCGGCUAACCAGCUUUUGGAUGUGUGCCUGACUUCAGCAGCCGUGGGAAUGUCCCACUGGAGACUACUUAACGGAUAUAGUCACCGGAGGGACACUUUUGGGUCCACGGUCCCUCUACAAGUCUUUGUUGCUGUAGCUCAACUGGUAAUGCUUGAAACACGAAGGUUGUGUGUUCGAUUCCCAUGGAGCACAUGUCCUGAAUAAAUACACUGGGAUCAAUGUACAGUAAAUGUAAAUUUUGUAUGACAUCAGCCUACGUGCAGUGUGUCACAGCCAGUGCUGGAUAUACAUGUGCUCCUGUACAGUCUUGUGUCAUACCGAUUAAACUUGUGUCUGUAGAUUAAGUUUAGUAUGCAAUAAUGAUUUUAUCAAUAUAUUUUGCAUGCAUCCAGCAUCUCUGAACUUCUGAACUUGUGGGAGUGUCAUUAUGUCAGCUGAAAUAACUUUGAAUCAUAUUUUCACAACUUCAGUGUGACAAUCAGUGUUAUUUUCCAUUAAUUUUUCAUUAAAGUUUCGUUUUCAGUUUUGGUUGUGUACAGUAAAUGUGGUUUAGUAGAUGUUAUCUCUUUUCAAUAUGUUGGUGAUUUCAUGAUAUGACACUAUAUUAUAUUAUGAAAAUAUAUCAAAUAAAAUAUAAAGUAAAUCUUAA